rnacentral:rRNA from 1 species
UACGUAGGGGGCAAGCGUUGUCCGGAAUCAUUGGGCGUAAAGAGCGUGUAGGCGGCCAGACAGGUCCGUUGUGAAAACUCGAGGCUUAACCUCGAGACGUCGAUGGAAACCGUUUGGCUAGAGUCCGGAAGAGGAGAGUGGAAUUCCUGGUGUAGCGGUGAAAUGCGCAGAUAUCAGGAAGAACACCCAUGGCGAAGGCAGCUCUCUGGGACGGUACUGACGCUGAGACGCGAAAGCGUGGGGAGCGAACAGG